ensembl:snRNA U2 U2 spliceosomal RNA
AUCUGUUCUUAUCAGUUUAAUAUCUGAUACGUCCCUACCCGGGGACCAUAUAUUAAAUUGAUUUUUGGAGCAGGGAGAUGGAAUAGGGGCUUGCUCCGUCCACUCCACGCAUCGACCUGGUAUUGCAGUAUUUCUAGGAACGGUGC